CAACUGUGUGAAUUAAUGUAAACUGCAUACUGCUUUGAACAUCGACAUCUUGAACGCAUAUUGCGGCCAUGGGUUAGCCUGUGGCCACGCCUGUCCGAGGGUCGGCUUAUGAACUAUCACGACGCCCAAAGAGUCGUGGCUUGGGUCUUGCCAGCUGGCGUGGUUUCCUCCAUGAACCCCGUGUGAGGUGCCAGAUCUAUGGCGUUUCCCUAAUAAAUCCGGACGCAUCCUCGUGAUGGCUGUAAGCCAACGCGGGUUGUGGUGGCGGAAUCGUGGUUUAAUAUGGCUGUUCCCCGUUGUCGGUAUGCCCUGUAGGCAUGCACACACGGGUUGGGCUGUGAUUGGGUUGGUGCUCCGAAGUCGGUAUACUUGGCGUUAUCCUAGUCGGUGUACGUUUGACUUUGGGGGUGAUUCCAUACCAGGCACGUUUCGUCAUUACUACUACGCUGUUGGUUGAACGCCAACGUGGGCCAUGUAUCCGUUAUUACCAUUUUGGCGCAUUUGUUUCGCAACGAGCGGGUUGUUUCGAUGCGUUGCGACCAGUGAGCCUCCCUGACCUCGGAUCAGACGUGAUUACCCGCUGAACUUAAGCAUAUCACUAAGCGGAGGAAAAGAAACUAACCAGGAUUCCCUCAGUAACGGCGAGUGAAGAGGGAAAAGCCCAGCACCGAAGCCUGUGGCCGUUUGGCCAUUAGGCAAUGUGGUGUUUAGGUCGGCUCGCGGAGGUGCUGCUCCACCCUAAGUCCUAUAAUGAGUAAGGUUACUCGGACGUGGCCCGAAGAGGGUGAAAGGCCCGUGGGGGUG
rnacentral:rRNA from 1 species